rnacentral:rRNA from 1 species
GCCCAACCGUAAACUUUAAUUUACAUCUAUAUCGCCUGGGAACUACGAGCAAAGCUUAAAACCCAAAGGACUUGACGGUACCCCAAAUCCACCUAGAGGAGCCUGUCCUAUAAUCGAUAACCCCCGUUUAACCUCACCAUUUCUAGCUAAUCAGCCUGUAUACCUCCGUCGUCAGCUUACCACGUGAGCGAAUAUAAGUGAGCUUAAUGCCUCUACACCAAUACGUCAGGUCAAGGUGCAGCAAAUGUAAUGGGAAGAGAUGGGCUACACUCUCUAAUAUAGAGAAUACGAAAGGCUACAUAUGAAAACUAGCCGGAAGGCGGAUUUAGAAGUAAAAAGAAACAAG